CGCUGUCCUGUCAGGGGAGGCCGCUGUCCUGUCAGUCAGGAAGCGACGCUGCCAAAAGCCGCUUAUCCAGCGGGAUUUAAAGCCCGGGACGGCAGGGCAGGUCGGUCCCCGCCGUGAAACCCACUGCUUUUUCCAUAAAACAAGCAGAUGAGGUGUAGCAGAGUGCGAGGGGUUCUAGCUAAACCUGGCUGGCAUCCUGAUGGAGCUGGGCCAGGGGUCCUGCCGGAGGGGCUGCUCCUGGCCGUUGGGCUAAUGCUCACCUCCGUCAUUACAUCAGGAGCUCCGGAGAUGUGAAAUGUCAUCUGUCAUUAACGAAAUCUUAGUUAAAACAAAAUCACAGGGGAACUUAGCUUGGGAAUGACCUCUGGACAUCAUCAUCUCUAGGCGUUUGUUAUCUCUCCAAGGUGGUUGCUAGCCAGCAGAUUGUGGAGAUAGCAGAGCCACGCCACAUCCAUCUACCCCUCUCCCAGGCAGCAGGAGGUUGAAAACACACAUGGGAGUGACUGGAUGUGCCGGUAUGUCACAAUAACAUCGAGCAAGAGGCAGUUGUUGCUGAUCUUGGCAUGCAAACAUACAGAAAUCCAAAAAAACCCACCUAAUGACUUAUCCUAAUCAGUGAGUGAUUGCAGACAUUACCCAAGCAAAAUCAAAAUUAAGCUUGGAUAAAUAAUAAUUUAUGC